rnacentral:rRNA from 1 species
CCAAUUUUCUGCCACCGAAUACAUUAGCAUGGGAUAAUGGAAUAGGACCCUGUCCUCCUAUUUUCAGUUGGUUUGCCGCGAGGACCGGGUAAUGAUUAAUACGGAUAGUUGGGGGCAUUAAUAUUUAAUUGUCAGAGGUGAAAUUCUUGGAUUUAUGAAAGAUUAACUUCUGCGAAAGCAUCUGCCAAGGAUGUUUUCAUUAAUCAAGAACGAAAGUUAGGGGAUCGAAGACGAUCAGAUACCGUCGUAGUCUUAACCAUAAACGAUGCCGACCAGCGAUUAGGAGACGUUGAAUACAAAACACCACCAUGCGCAUUGCGGUCGUCUUUGGUGUCGCUCACAAGGCGGCACCGGGGCGGCUUAGCUCGCAUGCAUCGCUA